UACGUAGGGCGCAAGCGUUGUCCGGAAUUAUUGGGCGUAAAGAGCUCGUAGGCGGUCUGUUGCGUCCGCUGUGAAAACUCGGGGCUUAACCCCGAGCCUGCAGUGGAUACGGGCAGACUAGAGGUAGGUAGGGGAGAAUGGAAUUCCUGGUGUAGCGGUGAAAUGCGCAGAUAUCAGGAGGAACACCGGUGGCGAAGGCGGAUCUCUGGGGCCUGUUCUGACGCUGGAGGCGCGAAAAGCUAGGGGGAGCGAACAGG
rnacentral:rRNA from 1 species